rnacentral:rRNA from 1 species
UACGUAGGGGGCGAGCGUUGUCCGGAAUCAUUGGGCGUAAAGAGCUCGUAGGCGGUUCAGCACGUCGGCUGUGAAAUUCCGAGGCUCAACCUCGGAACUGCAGUCGAUACUGCUGUGACUCGAGUCCGGUAGAGGAGAAUGGAAUUCCCGGUGUAGCGGUGAAAUGCGCAGAUAUCGGGAGGAACACCAGUAGCGAAGGCGGUUCUCUGGGCCGGUACUGACGCUGAGGAGCGAAAGCGUGGGGAGCAAACAGG